UUGGUAGCUGUGAAGAAUGGUUUGAAUUUAGUGCAGAUGCAGGGAAACACAUGCUGUCGUUGAGUGCAUAGCAUGCUUCAGACGUCUAACAUCCCCUGUCUGGAGUCCACCGCAGCAGGCCUGAGAUAGCACAGAGGCCUGGAGAAGCAAUUGGAGGUCCAUGGUUCUGGGGAGGAUAAGAGCGACGACAUCUUUGUUUCUGUUGUAGCGGGGCAUAUUCUGGAGAGAUGUUUCCACUCUUGUGUAGAAAUCUACUCCAAGCACAGGACUCCGAGGACAGUCCUUUUUGAGAUGCAGCAUGGCCAGCUGCCCCCGCUCCUGAUGCCAUGCCUUCUCUACCACAACUGAAUGUGCCCUUGAAGUGAAAGCCAAAUGGUCUUAGGACCCCUGUGAAAGGGUCACUGGGACUCCCAGAGGGACCUCAAGCCACAGAUGGAGAACUGCUGUUCUAGAGUCUUGUGGACCUCUCUCCCUGCAGGAAGAGGAAACAGAUAUUCAAUAGCCAGAGAUACAAAAGGAAGCAGGGAGAACAUUUCAUGUCAAUCAAAUGUUUACCUCUUCUCUCAGUGAACUUUGCAUUAACAAGUGGCAUACCAGAGAGCAUCUCAACCUUUGAUACAGUAGCUGAUGGGAACACCUACUGCUGUUGAAUGCCAUGGUUCAAUCCACAAAGCCGGGCGUGGGGUGGUAUGGAGAUCAUUACUAUGGCGGCAGAGGUUUCCUAAGGAGUGCCGGCUGAGUGCUAAGAGGUAAAGAGCAGGGACUGUGUCUGGAUAGCUUUGAGACUUGAACUUGAUGUAAAUGCCUACAUAUUCCUUAGAGAACACAUUUGGUGUGAAUCUGGUGUUUAGUGCUUGCUGCCUUUGAAAGAACAUGUAUGCGUCCAGUAACCACGUGGCUCUUUUCAGAUUCUUUUUAUCCAAUCUGGUUCGAGGACUUCAACAGCUCUGCCACCAUUUUCUUAGUAAAGUAACAUUUUGAAAACCUACUUAAGACAAUACCCUAGCUAGCUGAGCGUUACCUGUGUGUGAAUGUUUUUAGACUACAAUACCCUAGCUAGCUGAGCGUUACCUGUGUGUGAAUGUUUUUAGACUACAGGUUCCGUGGAAUUGAGAUGCUGUGUCAUUUACAAUGUGUUUCCAAAAUAGACUCAUAAAAAUAGAAGGAAAUGUUUACUGUUGAGUCCAUGAACACCUGCCCAAAUCACAUAACUAACAUAGCCAGGUAAUAUAAAUCAACCACCAGCCGCCUGCCUGUUGUGGUUUAAAUAGUUAUCCUGUUUCAUCUUUAAGAAUACUCGUGAAGACAGAAAUGCACAUUCAAACAAUGUUUCCAUAGGCAUUAGCUUGCUCAAAUACAAGAUGCAAAGGGAUAUUUGAAGAUGUUAAUAUUCCCAAGAUACAGCUGAGCAAAUAUUCUAUUCACUACAAUGGACAGUUUGAAUUACUUAAAAGUAGCUGGCUUUUAUGGUCAAUUGGAUAUUGCUGCGUUACUGGUAAUAAACGGUAAAUCUUAGCAUAGCACCCUUCAGAUCAGCUGGGAUGAUACUUUAAGGAAAAGAGAAAAUGUAAGAAUUUAUACAGCA